UUUCCGUAGGUGAACCUGCGGAAGGAUCAUUCAUAAUAAGUGUCUUAUGGCACUUUUUUAAAUCCAUAUCCGCCUUGUGUGCAAUGUCAGGGUUGAUUUUUCUCUCGAGAGGAUCAACCCCAAACAUCAACUAUAUCUCAACUCUUUGUCUGAAAAAUAUUAUGAAUAAAACAAUUCAAAAUACAACUUUCAACAACGGAUCUCUUGGCUCUC
rnacentral:misc_RNA from 1 species